CCUACGGAGGCAGCAGUGGGGAAUAUUGGACAAUGGGCGAAAGCCUGAUCCAGCCAUGCCGCGUGUGUGAAGAAGGCCUUCGGGUUGUAAAGCACUUUCAGUGGGGAAGAAAGCCUUGGGGCUAAUACCCUCGAGGAAGGACAUCACCCACAGAAGAAGCACCGGCUAACUCCGUGCCAGCAGCCGCGGUAAUACGGAGGGUGCGAGCGUUAAUCGGAAUUACUGGGCGUAAAGCGCGCGUAGGCGGUCUGAUAAGCCGGUUGUGAAAGCCCCGGGCUCAACCUGGGAACGGCAUCCGGAACUGUCAGGCUAGAGUGCAGGAGAGGAAGGUAGAAGUCCCGGUGUAGCGGUGAAAUGCGUAGAGAUCGGGAGGAAUACCAGUGGCGAAGGCGGCCUUCUGGACUGACACUGACGCUGAGGUGCGAAAGCGUGGGUAGCAAACAGGAUUAGAUACCCUGUAGUC
rnacentral:rRNA from 1 species